rnacentral:rRNA from 1 species
GUUGGCUUGGAAGCAGCCAUUCAUUUAAAGAGUGCGUAACAGCUCACUAGUCGAGUGAUCCCGCAUGGAUAAUAAUCGGGCAUAAGUCCGUUGCCGAAGCCGUGGAAUGCAGCAUACAGCUGCAUUGGUAGGGGAGCAUUCCGGCAGCCGCAGAAGGUUGGGCGUGAGCCCAGCUGGAGGCACCGGAAAAGCAAAUGUAGGAAUAAGUAACGAUAAAGGGGGCGGGAAACCCCCUCGCCGUAAGACCAAGGGUUCCUGAUCAACGCUAAUCGGAUCAGGGUAAGCCGGGGCCUAAGUGGAAGCCGCAAGGCGCACACGAUGGACAAACGGUAAAGAAUCCGUUGCCCCGCAGUCCCAGUGAUGUGGAGACGGAGCAGUGACACACCCGCGUGCUGACGGAAUAGCACGUUGAACCGCGUAGGUAAACCGAGGUGAGGCAAAUCCCACCACGGUGCUGAACCGGGACAGUACGGAGCGCCCCCGGGCAAUCCGACAGUGGUGGUAACCAUACUCCCGAGAAAAUCCGCUAAACGCUAUAAAGGGCUGCGGGCCCGUACCGCAAACCGACACAGGUGGUCGGGUAGAAUAUACCAAGGCGCUCGAGAGAUUCACGGUUAAGGAACUAGGCAAAUUGACCCCGUAACUUCGGGACAAGGGGUCCCCUCCUCCGGGAGGGGCGCAGAGAAUAGGUCCAGGCAACUGUUUAACAAAAACACAGGGCUGUGCGAAGUUGAAAGAUGAAGCAUACAGCCUGACACCUGCCCGGUGCCGGAAGGUUAAGAGGAGGCGUCAUCGCAAGAGAAGCGCUGAAUUGAAGCCCCGGUAAACGGCGGCCGUAACUAUAACGGUCCUAAGGUAGCGAAAUUCCUUGUCAGGUAAGUUCUGACCCGCACGAAUGGCGUAAUGAUUUGGGCACUGUCUCGACAGCCCGCCCGGCGAAAUUGUAGUACUGGUGAAGAUGCCAGUUACCCGCAACUAGACGGAAAGACCCCAUGGAGCUUUACUGCAGUUUAAUACUGGGAAUCGGUAAUUCAUGUACAGGAUAGGUGGGAGACUGAGAAGCAUGGCCGUCAGGUCGUGUGGAGUCACCGGUGGGAUACCACUCUUGGAUUGCUGGUUUCCUAACCUGCGGCCCUGAAUCGGGUCGGGGGACACUGUUAGACGGGCAGUUUGACUGGGGCGGUCGCCUCCAAAAGAGUAACGGAGGCGCUCAAAGGUUCGUUCAGCACGGACGGAAAUCGUGCAUUGAGUGUAAACGCAUAAACGAGCCUAACUGCGAGACCGACGGGUCGAGCAGUAACGAAAGUUGGAGUUAGUGAUCCGGUGGUAUGUGAGUGGAAAUGCCAUCGCUCAACGGAUAAAAGUUACCCUGGGGAUAACAGGCUGAUCUCCCCCAAGAGUCCACAUCGACGGGGAGGUUUGGCACCUCGAUGUCGGCUCAUCGCAUCCUGGGGCUGUAUUCGGUCCCAAGGGUUUGGCUGUUCGCCAAUUAAAGCGGUACGCGAGCUGGGUUCAGAACGUCGUGAGACAGUUCGGUCCCUAUCUGUUGCGGGCGUAAGAGAUUUGAAGGGAGCUGUCCUUAGUACGAGAGGACCGGGAUGGACGUACCUCUGGUGCACCAGUUGUCCUGCCAAGGGCAUAGCUGGGUAGCUAUGUACGGACGAGAUAAACGCUGAAAGCAUCUAAGCGUGAAACUCUCCCUAAGAUGAGAUCUCUCAUCCAUUAUGGAGUAAGGGCCCAGAAAGACGAUCUGGUUGAUAGGCCGGAGGUGGAAGCACGGUAACGUGUGCAGCUGACCGGUACUAAUAGCCCGAGGGCUUGACCU